GGCAGAGUGGUGUAGUGGUUUGAGCAUUGGACUAUGACUCUGGAGAUCAGGGUUCGCUUCUGAGCUCAGCCA